GCCCAUGGGGUGCGCAGGAGCCUCUGGAGGGGGCGGAUUCUCUCCAGCCAGAAAGCCCGGAGUCGCCCAGGAAGUUUGGCUCGGACUGAGAGCAUUUCCUUCUGGGCCGGCCGGGCGCGAUCCGGGAAGGGCGGCUGCGGUCACAUGCCGCGCUGCUUUCAGCCAGGCUGGCACCAUGCGGCCCCUGCUCUGCGCGCUGGCCAGGCUGGCCCUGCUCUGUGCCGUGGGCGCUUUGGUCGGCAUUAUUCUGAGAAGAGGUCUGUAGGCUUCACCACGCUGCCAAUGGGGUCCACGGCACACACAGGGAAAAACCAGUAAGAACCCUGAGUAAAUUUCAAAAUCCCAGACCUGUCAUUUGGCAGAGACACCACCAGGGAGCAGAAUAACAAAAGGAAUGUGAGCUCCAGGCUGCAAAGUCCAAAAGGGAGAAGGUAAUCUACACGCGCUUUAUCCAAACCUGUGACUGAGUGCCAAAAAGGAAGGAGCCUUAGAGAGCGAGCCCCAUAGGAUAUUGUCAUCUGGAGAGAUUGAGGCAGGUAGGGGCAGAGCCUGAGUGAGGAAAACCCAGGUCCCGCAGCUCCCAGUCCUUUUCCACUGCACCCCACUGGACCGCCAGCUGCUUCUUAGGACCUGGCUAAUGAAGCAGAACGUGGCACCACUCCUGUCCUGGACGUUACCCACCUUCUCACUCUAGAUGGUAGAGAAGACCGUGGAUCACCUGGGGACACAGGUGAAAGGCCUGCUGGGCCUGCUGGAGGACCUGGCCUGGAACCUGCCCGGGGGACCCUUCAGCCCCGUCCCCGACCUCCUCGGAAAAGAUGGCUUCUGAGCCCCGGAGCUGGAGCCCAGCAGCUGGAGGUGGUGCACCUGCCAGGCAGCACCCUCUGAUAGCCAGCGCUGUCCGCUCGCCUUCCUUCCUCAGCUUCGUGUGAAAUAAAAGCUACUGUUUUUGGUC